AUUGAACGCUGGCGGCAUGCCUUACACAUGCAAGUCGAACGGCAGCACGGAGCUUGCUCUGGUGGCGAGUGGCGAACGGGUGAGUAAUAUAUCGGAACGUACCCAAGAGUGGGGGAUAACGUAGCGAAAGUUACGCUAAUACCGCAUACGAUCUAAGGAUGAAAGCAGGGGAUCGCAAGACCUUGUGCUCCUGGAGCGGCCGAUAUCUGAUUAGCUAGUUGGUGAGGUAAAGGCUCACCAAGGCAUCGAUCAGUAGCUGGUCUGAGAGGACGACCAGCCACACUGGAACUGAGACACGGUUCAGACUCCUACGAGAGGCAGCAGUGGGGAAUUUUGGACAAUGGGGGCAACCCUGAUCCAGCAAUGCCGCGUGAGUGAAGAAGGCCUUCGGGUUGUAAAGCUCUUUUGUCAGGGAAGAAACGGUCGUGGCUAAUAUCCAUGGCUAAUGACGGUACCUGAAGAAUAAGCACCGGCUAACUACGUGCCAGCAGCCGCGGUAA
rnacentral:rRNA from 1 species